GGGCGCUUCGAGGAUGACCUCGUGACUCUUUUAAACGCCCCCAAAACUAUUUUGCCGAACCUUUUCAUAGUGCAAUGCUUGCACCAGUGGAUAGCUAGCUUGGAUAGGUGAUUUUUUUUGUGAGGUUUCUGCUGGUGAUUGGUUGGAAAUAGCAAAGAUGUGAAAGUGUUGCUUGGAGAGUGAAGAUGGAAGUGAUGAAGUGAAGUGAGAAUGGGUGGAGAGGGCCACACCCGAACCCCUGGUAUUUAUAGUUUGAAAAUGCAGGUGGAUUCGGGGUGAGGGCAACGGCU
rnacentral:lncRNA from 1 species